AGUGAUUAAGCGUUUGGUUGUUAACCAAAAGGUCGGUAGUUCAAAUCUACCAGCUGCUC
rnacentral:tRNA from 1 species